rnacentral:lncRNA from 1 species
GAGAGAGAGAGAGAGAGAGAGAGAGAGAGCGAGAGAGAGAGAGUUACUUGAGACGGGUGGCGAGGCGAGGAGGGAAGCGUGGCGGGGAGGAGAGGGAGAGGCGGCCGCGACAGAGACGCUGGCAGGGGAGGAGAGAUGGAGAGGCCGACGCCAUUUCUGAUCAAGCUUUGCUCGACCUCUUCUUGAUUGUCACGUUCGUGCUUAGCCUUUCGUUUCUCCG